rnacentral:rRNA from 1 species
GUGAGGAAUAUUGGUCAAUGGGCGAGAGCCUGAACCAGCCAAGUCGCGUGAAGGAAGAAGGAUCUAUGGUUCGUAAACUUCUUUUGCAGGGGAAUAAAGUGCGGGACGUGUCCUGUUUUGUAUGUACCCUGAGAAUAAGGAUCGGCUAACUCCGUGCCAGCAGCCGCGGUAAUACGGAGGAUCCAAGCGUUAUCCGGAAUCAUUGGGUUUAAAGGGUGCGUAGGUGGUUUGAUAAGUCAGCGGUGAAAGUUUGCAGCUUAACUGUAAAAAUGCCGUUGAAACUGUCGGACUUGAGUGUAAAUGAGGUAGGCGGAAUGCGUGGUGUAGCGGUGAAAUGCAUAGAUAUCACGCAGAACUCCGAUUGCGAAGGCAGCUUACUAAGCUACAACUGACACUGAAGCACGAAAGCGUGGGGAUCAAACAGGAUUAGAUACCCUUGUAGUCC